GGUAAGGUGGCCGAGUGGUUAAGGCGGCAGCUUUAGGCGCUGCUCUCGAAAGAGGCGCGAGUUCGAACCUCGUCCUUGCCA